CCCUUAGAUGUUCUGGGCUGCACGCGCGCUACACUGAUGCGCUCAACGAGUUUACGACCUUGCCCGGAAGGGUUGGGUAAUCUUUUUAAAACGCAUCGUGAUGGGGAUAGAUUAUUGCAAUUAUUAAUCUUUAACGAGGAAUUCCUAGUAAGCGCGAGUCAUCAGCUCGUGCUGAUUACGUCCCUGCCCUUUGUACACACCGCCCGUCGCUCCUACCGAUUGAGCGAUCCGGUGAAUGUUUUGGACUGGCGUCAGAAGCGGUUCGCUCCUGACACUACGAAAUUUUGUAAACCUUAUCGCUUAGAGGAAGGAAAAGUCGUAACA
rnacentral:rRNA from 1 species